UCAGUCACCAAAAGGAUGACUUGAGGCAAACACUAUUUUAUUUUCUUUUAAAUAAAAAUUUCAUAAGCUACAUCCUCUCUGCAACUCUCCCUUUGCCUCCAACAUCUAUCCCUCCUGACUUUAUUCUCCCCCUCCCUCCCUCCCUCCCUUCUUUCCUAACUCCCUCAUACUAAACCAUUGAAUUUGAUUAGUCUUUCCCAUAUGCACAUGAGUGUGGGGUCAUCCCCUGGGGCAUGAGUGUCAUAAUCGUACACACUCCCAUCCACGUGUGCUUUCCUUCAUGGCCCUAACACACCCACCCACAUCUCUGCUGUGACCCUGAGGGGAGAGAUAGGCGGGAGGGAUUUAGCUUGGGACUUCCUGUUCUGUAAUGCAAUGCCUUCUGGCUCUUCUUUCGCAGUGUUGUUGGUUUUUUUAAUUUUUUUUUUUUGUAAUCAAAUAUACCCAUUUGACUUCCUCAUGUGAUUAUUUGUGAGCUACGUAUUUUCAACACAAACACAUUCCCUCUACAAUGACAUUCACAUGUCACGUUAUGAUAACCACUUUUGAAAUGAAAGCAGUGCCAAGAAAGUUUAAACCAAAGCUCACUGAGGGGACUACAAGUCCAGGGUGAAGCUAGUAACAUAUUGCUUUCUUUGUUCUAAGAUGUUUAGACCCACUCAGCUAUAUUCCCGCCUACAUUCACAAAAUGCCCUCAUAGAAUGAUGAAGGACACCUUAAUAACAAAGAACACUCCCAAUAAUUUGUCUCUGGACAUAGAGUGAGCUUUCAGGUGAGAAGGACUUCUACCUUAGGACAGACUAGAGAACAGGGGAGGGGAAGGAAGGGGAGGGGGAAGGAGAGGGGAGCAGAGGGGAGCAUGGCAAUGGGCAUUUAGAAUUACAGAUUGAGUGCCAGGUCGCUCUUCUUUAGGAUGUUAUUUGAUAAUCUUCUUUGUCAAUCACAGCCAUUAAAACGUUAACAAAAUAAUGAGCAAAAUUUGUGACUAAACUCAGGUGCACAUUAAAUGUCAAAAUCAUCUUCAGUCUUUAAGUGUGGAACAUCAAAUGUUUCCUUAGUGAUAAACUUGAGUAGAUUCUUGGACCUCUGGACUCUGGAGACAUCUCCCCAGUCCCAUGGUGCCUUUUGCUAUCAUCUUCUUACUCAUCUCACCAUGAUCUACAGCUAAAGCCUCAAACCAACGAUGCUUUACAAACCAGCAAACUUUCAUCGACUUUCACGAAGACAACAACUCACAGUCACAAAUGAACAACAAAGUUCAGUUUUCAAAUCCAGGUAGAAAUGUCCCAUUCUGCUUCCGUUCCCUCCUGGACACCAAGAGGCAAUGUCCUUGGGGCUUAGGAGUAAGUUGGAUGGGAGGUGGGCAUGGUGGCUCAUUCCUUUAAUCUCAGCAUUGAUAGGUGGGUCUCAACGUUUGAGACCAGCCUAGUCUACAUGGAGAAUUCCAGGAUUGUCAAAGCUACACAGAGAAAUUCUGUCUUGGACAAAGGAGGAGGGUAUUGGAUGAGAAUUCCUGCUACAACCUUGUUCAAAGAAAAGUAUCCGGAUGUGGUAUUUGAGAGGGGGACAUCAUAGAAACCAAGUUUGGUAGAUAGCAGGCAUGGUGAAGUGCACAUUAUGCUCCAUUCUGAAUUAACCUAUCUCAGGACUCUGGUCAGCAGAUUUGCUAGCACUCAUUAUUCCUACUGCCUUGAAUGUCCUUCACAACUCCAACCUUUCUCCUUAUGGGAAAUCUUCUUGCUCACAUGUACCUCUCUGCUCUGUGUUAUCAACCAGACACUUAACCACAUAAGACAAAACGUCCACUUCAGGAAACCAGGCAGUGCAAGGCAUUCUGAAACCCAGUGAUGGGCAGUGGGGGUGGAUGGUGCAAUGGCCCAGUUGAUAAAGUACUUGCUAUUCAAUCAUGAGGAAUUGAGUUAGGGUCCCCGGUGCCCAGCAGAAGUCUAGAUGUGGAACCAAGUACCUGUAACCCUAAUACCAGGGAGGCAAAGAUAGGAGAAUCCUUGUAGCUCACAGUCUGGACAAAGGCUAAGCUCUAGAUUCAUUGAGAGACCCUGACUCAAUAAAAAGGCUAGGAGCAAUAAAAGACAAUAUUUGACAUGGACUUUGGCUUCUAUACAUGUGUGCACACAUACAUGAACAUGUAUACAAGAGUAUGCCAUACACACCACACACAUAACAUAUACACAACACACACACACAGCACACAUGCACACAACACGCACAUACUCACACAGCACAAUACAACAACGCACUCACACAACACUACAAAACACACACAAUACAUGCAUACAACACACACAACACAUGCAUACACAACACAUACACACAUACAACACACACAUGCACACAACACACAUACAGCAAAGAGAUACACAACACAUAUAACAAAACACACACAUCAUACACACACACACCACACAUAACACACACAACAUACACACAACACACACAUAAAACACACACAACACACAUACAUACAGCACACACAACACACGCACACACAAUGCUGCUGAUGCUGUGUUAACAGGACACUGACUGUUUCCUCUCGUGAUGAACUAGAUCAGAACGUUAAAGCUUAAUGAUGGGUGCUGGUGUUAUUUCUCAUUUAAUACACACUACUCAGAUCCAUGCCACUCUGACAGACCUGUACUCAACAGCUGUCAAAAGUGGCAUUUAACCCUGGACCAUCAGCUCCUCCUCGAAGCGCAGUGUUUGCACAGGCACCAUGCACCACAUCGUUUGUGUUUGCAUCUGAACGCCCAUCCCGACAGCCCCCCAUGCUGUAAAUGGGCAUAUGAUCACAUCAUGUGAGUAUUCAUCAAAUUAUCCACUCAACCUAGAGAUACUGAAUGUUGAUCAGCCAAGCAUCCUGUGCCAGUGAACCACGUGCAAAGCAGGGUGUCCUACCCCAUCACUAAAUAACACGGAGACUUUAAAACAAAGAGAAGAUGAUCUGUGCAGAAUACAGGUAAGGCUUGUAGUCUACGAUUCUCAAGGGAGUAGAAGACCUACAUAGAAAAGCUGAAAACUGGAAAGUUCAUCGGAGGCACCAUCCCAUGUUUUUGAUACACACUGCCGAUUAAAAUGUAUAAGGCGGCAGUUAAGGCAACAGAAAUUGCUUCUGUAUGGACCAAGAGCUGUGAUUCCUGGGGACCCAAAGGUGAGUGAAACGCAUAACUGUCCAUACAGAGCAAGCAGGUCGCAGGAAAGGAGAGCCAAGGUAGAAGGCCUGAGACAGGCAUAGAAUAAUUCACUUGCAUACUAUGGAGAUGCAUUAUGUAUUAGAUAGCAGUGAUUAUUAAAGUCUGAGAGGGCAUACCAAUAUUUAAAGUGUUUCUUGGUUUGUUUAGACUCUGAUAUGCUGGGACAUGUUCAGAUGAGACCAGCUUAAACAAAAGCUAAGUGCAUUUCAGUCGGGGAUGCGUUAGAUACUCUCAGGUCUGCAAAUGCAUUGUCUUGCCAGUCACAUUCUCAAAAGGCUUUGCAAGCCCAGAGAGUUUUCAGCACUAGGGGGAGGAAAAAAAAAAAAAAAAAAAAAACAAAAAACCCUGUUUACAGGAAGUGAACUUAGAUUCAUGCAAGUGCUUUGAGCAAAUGUAUUCUUUGUAAUAAUUGUAUUACACAAACCAGAGUAAAAAUAGCCAGAUAAUAGAGUUACCACUUGAAACAAUAAGGAAAAGAUUGAAAAAUGCAUCUCCAAUCAAAAGAGUUCAUUGAUUCACCUGCUGAGUAGGCCUGGGGUGGGGGUGGGGUUGGGAAGACUGGGGAAGGCGGACCUGUGGUCCUGCAGGCUCUAUGCAAGUGUUGGGCUGCAUUUAGUACAAACUCACAAUGGGCUAUAUUUGUGCCAAGGAAUCCACAAAAAUAGCUCAUUGUAUGAUCGCAAAACUAAAUCGGCUUCUACGUAUUUAAUAAAAUUCAGUCAAUCGAGCAAAAUAAAAUCACUUUGCUUUGAAUUAAAGAGGAUAUAUUUGCUGUAACCAAAGUAACACCAUAUGGCAUGUAAAUUUCAAGAUAAUUUGAACUUCAUAGUUAUCUUAGCACCACCAUCGAGAGGAUGCAUCUCUCAACUGAAUCCAUGCCUGGAGAAGACUCUGCUUGGAAACAGCUGAGGUGUGUGUCUAUUUCCGGGUGCUGGCUGUGCCUUUUCAUGGUGUUUGGCCACAUCGAGAGGACAUGUUCCUGAGAAGCCAGAGAGAGGGCUGAGUGUCACUGUGGAUCCAUCCCAGGCCUCAUCUCCCACCACUGAGCAUGGCCUCCGCUAUCCAAUUCCCUUCAGGGAUUCGGAUUCUGUAGACUCCACCCCGUCAUUCACCCAGGGCAGGCCUUGUCAGAUCCCUCAGCCCUGGGAGGCACACACACCAAGCCUUGUGCAGUUAAGUUUAAAUAAUAGAGAUUAAUGUGUGGGAGCUCAAGUUGAGUACAAUAUCCUACAGAUGGACCCUCUUGGGAAGGAUAAUCAGAAAGAGUAGUUUCUGAACCAUUCUCUGAAACAUGGGCUGAUUCCUGAACAAAUCCUGAGACACGGGGCUCAACUGAAGACUUCUCUGUGAUCCUGGAGUCCUGUCCAUCCAUUCCUCAGUCACCCAGCGCCUUGCAAGCUGUUUGUAGUGUUCAUCUCAGGGCAGACAAGCAGCCAUAGCCCUUAUGUCAGAAAAGAGGGGGAUGUCUAGGGCUACGGAAGCAGGAGUCAGAAGCUCAGAGGUGUUGUCUCUCCUAGCUCAGAGGUUGAGUUUCUUAUUCUGUUUCUUAAUCCUCUGUAAUUCUGGAUUUAAUUAGCACUGAAGCUUCCUAGUUAAUUUCUCCAUCAAUGGCACUCACACAUCUCAGCCACCCAAUGCCUUCUCUGCUGUUUGCCAUGGUCCCACUCUAUUGUUAAUUGACCAAGUUUAAGUUCACAGGAGGCCGUGUUAAUUUCUCCAUCAAUGGCACUCACACAUCUCAGCCACCCAAUGCCUUCUCUGCUGUUUGCCAUGGUCCCACUCUAUUGUUAAUUGACCAAGUUUAAGUUCACAGGAGGCCGUUUCAUGGCUAGAGUGUACUGGGAAAACAGAAGCACUCUUUUACUGAACUGACAAGAGACGACUAGGAGAACACCUCGAGGGUGGGUUGAGAAAAAGAGUCAGGCAUCGGUGUGUGCUGCUCUGUUUACCACAGAGUGUUUGAACAGGUGAGCCGACAAAGCGUGCUUGGGACAGAGCAGUCUGUCCUGGGUGUGGCACACAGAUGCUAUGCAAAUCGCACAUGGGAUGGGUCGCUUAGGGCAGGUAAUGAAACCAAGGGUGGUGCCUCCCUGGGGGCUUCUGUAGACAUUGUAAGCACGUUAUUUCUCAUGAACAUGACAUUUCUAGUGAUGUCUCAUGACAUGUUAGAAUUUGUCAAAUGCUAAAUGCUGCUGGGAUGAAAUUUAGUGAGGUGUAUUUCUUGAGCUAAUAUAGGACACUUACUUGAGGCAUAACUUCUUGUUAGCCAGUAAUAAUCAAGCACACCCAGAGACUCACAGACAUUCAGAAUUAAUAGGCAGCCCAGACCAGUUAAAAACCAUCCAAGAGUGUUAUCCACUUAGAAUUUAUAAUUAAGAAAAUAAAAAAGAUGAUUCUUCCUCUUCCUCUUCCUCUUCCUCUUCCUCUUCCUCUCCCUCUCCCUCUUCCUCUCCCUCCUCCUCCUCCUCCUCCUCCUCUUCUUUUUUUUUUUUUUUUUGUUUUUUUUUGAGACAGGGUUUCUCUGUGUAGCCCUGGCUGUCCUGGAACUCACUCUGCUGUCCUGGAACUCAGACCAGGCUGGCCUCGAACUCAGAAAUCCGCCUGCCUCUGCCUCCGCUAUCCAAUGUGUGAGUGCUGGGAUUAAAGGUGUGUGCCACCAUGCCUGGCUGUAAGUGAUCUUCUUAUUCGACUUCUAUCCUGAGGUUCUGUUUCAAGUGGCCAUGUUGGGGAAGAGCUAUUGCUGCCCUUGCGAAGGACUGAGGUCCUGAACCUCAGUGCUCUGUAAAUCAUCUACCUGUGGUACCCAGACAGACAGCAGACACACUCCUCUGAGGUAGAUCCUGAUGGCUAGGUCAACAUCUGCCUCAGAGAAGUCAAGAUGACAGGUGGCCCUCUCCUGUCUCUAGGUAUUCAAACGUAAGUGGCAUGCUAGGGAUUCUAAGCUGAAGGUUGACAUAAAAAUGGUUUGGAGGACUGACCAACAAAUGGAAAACUUGCAGGUCCCCAGCCAAGAACUUUGAAACAUCAUGUGUCCUGGCUUCCUAACUGUUGCUGUGAUAAAAAUGUCCCAACCUAAAGCAACUUAGGGGAGAAAGUAUCAGCUCCCAACCCCACAUUGCUAUCCAUCAUUGGGGGAAACAAAGGCAGGAACUGAAGCAGUUAGUUGCAUCUCACACACAGCCUUGAGCAGAGAGAAAUAAAUGCACAUAUGAGUGUUUGUGCAUGGCUCACACUCUACAUUUAUACAGUCCAUGAUCCCCUGCCUAGGGAAUGGUGCCACCCAGAGAGAUCUGGGUCUUCCAGCAUCAAUGAACACAAUCACAAUAAUGCCUCCCAAGUAGGCCUGCAGGGCAACCUAAUCUAAUUUCCCACAGAGACUUUCUUCCUAGAUGAUUCUAAAUUAUGGCAAGAUAAUAAUGAAGGCCAACCACCUCACCAUGCCACACCCUAAGAUACAGGUUACAGAGCAACCUCUUUGGACAACUAGUGGGAAAGGUACCAAGCAACCACAAGAAGUACUCAGGACUUCACAUAAGAUGUAAGGCCACGGACCAUACAAGAAGCAUGUUUAAGACUCCUGUGGAAAUGAGAUGGAUUGGGGAUGUGAGAAGAGGAACAAAAGCAGUAUUUGCAGGGGGUCAGGGACAGAUUUUAAAAAGAGCAAACCAAAACUCUUUGAAGUGGAAACUAAGUCACGGAAAUGAAUAUUCGGAACAUGAAUUAAGCAUGUAUACAGUAAGGGAUGAGACAUGGGUGUCAUGGAAUGUACCCAGAGGGGAGUGUGGUUGAGACCGAGGUGAAAACAUCAAAGAUAAUCUGAGGAAGGAGAGAACGCAAAAUGUGACAUUGUCUUGAAGAUGCUGGUGAUGAGGGAGAGGGAGAAAGAAGCAGAGAGAAGUCCAAGAUCCCUUAUCUUUCAGAUCUGAAUAAACAAAGUUCACUUAACAUGCUAAUCAGCUGCCUCAAAUGGCUUCAGCUUUUAAAAAGUAUCACUCUGUCGAGAUCCUGUGAUAAGCUAGACAGAACACAUGCAUGUGGAAUGUUGUUUGUCCAGUCUGUCCUUCUUGGUGACAGAAGAGCUUCAGUGCACAGAGCUGGGUCCGGGUUCUGACUCUCACUGUGGGGUACUGGGAGGAGUCAUGCAGACCACAUGUGGCCAUAGUGAAUGCCACGGACAGUGAAUGCGCAAUGAACCUGUGUGUUCAGAAGGUGGAGGGACAGCCUGUGACAGAUGCAUAAUGGUUCAAACUGCCGGGGUCUCAUCUCAGCUUCGAACAUCGAUGGGCACCGAACUCUUUGUGACUCCUGACUGUCCCUGCUGGGGCUCCUCACAGAGACACCACAGGUUCAUGGCUUUGUAUCAGUUUAGGGCCCUGCAACAUCUCUUCCAAGAGAGACAAGCAUCUGAUGUAGCCUGUGCGUGAAGUCACCGUUAUGCUUCCUACACACUCUGAUCACAUGCAAUGGCCCCUUGCUGUAUCUUAACACCACACUUUCCAUUGAAGCCCUGGGACAGCUCUCAGUUGACCAGGAUGCUGCCCCCAAGUGCAUGUGAGGACUCAAUAGGUGUCUGUAUGUCAGGAGCCAUCUGAGGUAUCCCUCUCUCAUCUCAGAGUCAUCAGCUACCACGCGGCUCCCUGACCUGGUUAUGUAUCACGGAAUCACGCCGGUGACCACACACUCGUUUAUCACAGGCUUCCCCACAGGAAUACAACAGACUAAGCCAGAGAAUUUAGCAUAGUGAAGUAGAGAUGAGCUGGAGACCCCACGUCCCAGCAGCCUCUGCUCUGGGUACCAUUCACUCCUUAUAACUUCUAAUUCUCAUCCAAACACAAAUCUGGUACAGUGCCAUGUGGGGUCUGGCUGGCUUCUGGUAGGAGAGAGUAUGUAGAACCAGUGUUCCUCAGGAGACCACCUUUGUGACUUCACGUGUCACCAAUGACUGCAUUUCCCCAAAGCUUUGACCUCCCAUGAAGAACAACCACCCUUGAUUUAGCACUGAGAGUCCUCUCUUUCUUGUGUAAACCCAGUGACUAUUAGCUACCCGCACCAUGGCCCGACACAUUACAAGAUGACAGCAGAUCAGACAGUGUUUCCCAAACAGCAUCCGCAUGCUUACAGAAUGCUAGGAUUUUGUCCUCCCAUCUGAGACACAGUAAGACAGUCCAGCAUAUUAAUAGAUAGCUCAGCCCUGACAGUGGCCAACAGCCUUCCUUGGGCAUAUGAAGACAAUUUGAAGCUGAGAAUUGUGCUUCCAAUGUUCAGGAAACUGUUAUAAAGCCUUUGAUCACUCACCG